CAGCCACAUCACGUUGAAACACUGUUUCCUGUACAAUCACCGAAGUUAAGCAAUGUCAAGCUUGGUCAGUAUCUAGAUGGGUAACUUCUUGGGAAUACCAGGUACUGUAA
rnacentral:rRNA from 1 species